UGGAGAUUUAGCUAGGGAUUUCCUUCCAGCAGUUGAAAUUGAGCAGUCAUUCGAUUUCCGGCAGCUACUCAAUUUUGGCGGCUGCCCGAUCUGGCCGUGAUCAACCGGAGAAGCUUAGUGUUGAGGACUUUGACGCGAGACGAGUAUCUCGGAGUCGGAAUUGGACCUUUCUUUUGUCGGAGGCGG